UUGGGGGUAUUUCUUUUACAUGAACUGUGAAAUACGGUAUCUCAAAUUUUGCGCGUAACUCAAAGCGAAAUAUUACUCGCUCAACUGCUCGUAUUUAAAAAAUCUGGUAUGUCGAGGCACUAGAAUGUUGAGGUUCAUCCAAAAAAAAGGGAAGAUCUGAUUUUUACCAGUAAUAAGACUACAGCAUACUAAAUGACACAAGAUGUUCUUUCUCUAUUACCUCUUACAUUUGACAUAAAAGUAGGAAAAGGUUUAACAGUCUAUGCCUACAACAUAGAUCUCCAGGACUAAAAGUACACAAAAUGGCAAUCAGUAUAUCACAAGUGUAAUAACACAUGCAUCUAAUCUGCUUCAGUGGCGAGAACUGGGUGAAUCCUCUCAAACAUUAAUCAGGAACUAGGCAUACCUAAUGAGCGUCAAGCUGAUACAGUAGAUGUACAGAAGAGUUUAUACACAAGGAAGUGAAAAGUGAUGUAAAAGGCAACUAAUACUUCCAUCUACCAUAGUUAAACAAGAAUCUGCAAAUGGCGAUAAUUGCAAUAAUCCUGAUAUAUUCAUUUUUGGCUUUAUAAUUAUAUGCAAUUGUUUCAUAAAUAAAUUAUUUCUCAAAAUU